AUGGAACGAAAAGACAAAGUGCUGUAUCACACCCCAUGUCUUAACUUCCCUGACAGCCAGCUGCAGCUGAUCAGUGCCAGUAAACUGCAUAUACUCCAACAUCAGAGCUUCAAAUUGUCAGGCUCCCAGUUCUUCCACCUACCUUGCCUUGUCAUCCCAAGGUCAGCUGUUGAAUGAAAAAUAUUCUGUACCAUUUUCUGAGCUUUAAGAAAAAAGGAAAUUGAAGGAUGUGGAACAGAGUGUAUGCUCAGAAUUAAGUUCCAUCUAUUUAUUGAAUGAAUACUUGUCUAAUGGCUUUCUGGUCAGCUACCUAGGAGUCAUGGGAAGGGACCUUCCUGCCCCUCACCUUUCUGGAGCACCUGGGAUGUGCAGUACAGGCUCCCAGCCCACUGGAGGUUCCUGCAGCAUACUCAAGUCUGAUGGAUGCCCUUCCUCUGUGAGCAGAGUCUCUUGUGCUGAGUCAGGUCAUGCUUGCAUGGCUGUGCUGAAGGGGAUGGAUGAUUCUUCAGGGCAGAAAGUGCAAAGAGUGGCUUGUGCUGUAUACAAAAUUCUGCAAGGUAUGAUAACCUCCCUUUUUUUCUGGUUGUAGCUCAAUUCCUUCAACUGUGAAAUCUAAUUUCUCCUGGGAAGAAAAUAAAAAGCCAUGUGGAAUCA
rnacentral:lncRNA from 1 species